UACGUAGGGUGCGAGCGUUAAUCGGAAUUACUGGGCGUAAAGCGUGCGCAGGCGGUUCUGUAAGUCCGAUGUGAAAUCCCCGGGCUUAACCUGGGAACUGCAUUGGUGACUGCAGCGCUGGAGUAUGGCAGAGGGGGGUGGAAUUCCACGUGUAGCAGUGAAAUGCGUAGAGAUGUGGAGGAACACCGAUGGCGAAGGCAGCCCCCUGGGCCAAUACUGACGCUCAUGCACGAAAGCGUGGGGAGCAAACAGG
rnacentral:rRNA from 1 species